rnacentral:rRNA from 1 species
GACGAACGCUGGCGGCGUGCUUAACACAUGCAAGUCGAACGGAAAGGCCCUGCUUUUGUGGGGUGCUCGAGUGGCGAACGGGUGAGUAACACGUGAGUAACCUGCCCUUGACUUUGGGGUAACUUCAGGAAACUUGGGGUAAUACCGGAUAGGAGCUCCUGCUGCAUGGUGGGGGUUGGGAAGGUUCGGCGGUUGGGGAUGGACUCGCGGCUUAUCAGCUUGUUGGUGGGGUAGUGGCUUACCAAGGCUUUGACGGGUAGCCGGCCUGAGAGGGUGACCGGCCACAUUGGGACUGAGAUACGGCCCAGACUCCUACGGGAGGCAGCAGUGGGGAAUAUUGCACAAUGGGCGGAAGCCUGAUGCAGCAACGCCGCGUGCGGGAUGACGGCCUUCGGGUUGUAAACCGCUUUCGCCUGUGACGAAGCGUGAGUGACGGUAAUGGGUAAAGAAGCACCGGCUAACUACGUG